AUCGCUAGUAAUCGCAGGUCAGCAUACUGCGGUGAAUACGUUCCCGGGUCUUGUACACACCGCCCGUCACACCAUGGGAGCCGGAAAUGCCCGAAGCCAGUGACCCAACCUUAGGGAGGGAGCUGUCGAAGGUGGAGCCGGUAACUGGGGUGAAGUCGUAACAAGGUAUC
rnacentral:rRNA from 1 species